rnacentral:rRNA from 1 species
UAUUAAAAUUUAAUGAAAUAAUUUUAUAAUAUAAAUAAGAUUUUAUUUGUAAUUAAAAAAAAAAAAUUAAAUAUUUUUUUAUAUUUGUUUAAUAUUUAAUUUAUAAUAAAAUUUUAAAUGAAAAUUUAUUUAAGAAAAUUAUUUAAAUUUAUUAAUAAAAAAUAAGUGCCAGCAAUUGCGGUUAUACUUUUAAAUAAAAUUAAAUUUUUUAAUAAUUAAAUAAAUUAUGAAUAAGAUAAAUUUUUAUUUAAAAAUUAAAUUAUAUAUAUAGGUGAAAUAAUCAAAAAUUAAAUAAAUUUGAAUAAAAAAUAAUGAAAAUAAUUUAAAUUAAAAUAAUUUAUAAUAAAUUUUAGAAAAUUAAAGUAGGAUUAGAUACCCUAUUAUUUAAAUUAAAAAGAAAUUUUUUUAAUUAAAUAAUAAAUGUAGAACAUUAAAAUAUAAAAAAUUUGGCGGUAUUUUAUAACAUUAGAGGAAUUUGUUAAUUAAUUUGAUGAUCCACGAAUAGAAGAACUUAUUUUUAUUUUAUAUAUUGUUGUUGAUAAAUUAUAUUAUUAAAUAUUAAUUUUAAAAUAAAUAAUUUUUAUACAUUAUAAUUCAAAUCAAAAUGUAGAUUUAUUUAAGAUAAUUAUGAAUUACAAUUAAUUUUAUUAAUGAAAUUUAAAAUUUUAAUAAUUUAUAAGAAAUUGGAUUUAAAUGUAAAUUUAUAAAAAUUUUUAAAUUGAAUUUUAUUUAAAAUAUGUACAAAUUGCCCGUCAUUUUCAUUUAAAAAUAUGAAAAAAGUCGAAACAAAGUAAUUAUACUGGAAAGUGUAUUUAGAUAAAA